rnacentral:rRNA from 1 species
AUUGAACGCUGGCGGCAGGCCUAACACAUGCAAGUCGAGCGGAUGAAGGGAGCUUGCUCCUGGAUUCAGCGGCGGACGGGUGAGUAAUGCCUAGGAAUCUGCCUGGUAGUGGGGGAUAACGUCCGGAAACGGGCGCUAAUACCGCAUACGUCCUGAGGGAGAAAGAGGGGGAUCUUCGGACCUCACGCUAUCAGAUGAGCCUAGGUCGGAUUAGCUAGUUGGUGGGGUAAAGGCCUACCAAGGCGACGAUCCGUAACUGUUCUGAGAGGAUGAACAGUCAUACUGGUACAGAAGCACGGACCACACCCCGACGGCGAGCAGCAGUGGGGAAUAUUGGACAAUGAGCGAAAGCAUGUUCCAGCCAUGCCGCCUGUGUGAAGGAGGUCUUUGCAUUGUAAAGCACUUUAAGUUGGGAGGAAGGCCAGUAAGUUAAUACCUUUCUGUUUUGACGUUACCAACAGAAUAAGCUCCGGCUAACUUCGUG